rnacentral:lncRNA from 1 species
GAAAAUCUGCGAAGAAAAUAUCCGAAGGGCUGUCAAGACUGCCAUAGAUGCCGCAGAAACUGCUCUUUCUGAAGGAAAACCCUUCUGUGUUACCUAUGCCGAUGUGGGUCUUGAUACCACUGCUCUCCGUGAAGCAGUUGUCAAAGCCAUGAACCAUUCGGUACUCCAACACGUUCUGUCUAGUACUAUCCCCAUCAUCUAAGAAUAACUAUAGAUUCAGCAUAAUUUCCAACUUACUGCAGCAAUUUAUUUUUGAACGAAUUAAAACAUUUAAUUUGUGUUCCUUGUGUCAAAUUUUUGGAUGUGCUGGUGACCUUGUGGGUUUGACUUUUCCAGAGUCUGCUGAUGAUGGUAUUCAGCACAGACGAGGCAUCAAACAAGGCUGCUAUUUAUGCCGGUGUACCUCCCAACACACCCAAUGGCUUCAAGGUGUUGGAUUGGCUUACACCUUCAAUCGCACCACUCAAGGGGAGAGGAGGCGGUGGCAAGAAUGGUCUUGCCCAGGGCCAGGUGAGGCAUUGUUAAUCUUCAAGCUCUUUGGUCAAAGUGUACUAAUUAUUGUUACCCCCUCCGUUCCAUAUUACUCCCUCCGUUCCUAAAUAUUUGUCUUUCUAGAGAUUUCAACAAGUGACUACAUACAGAGUAAAAUGAGUGAAUCUACACUCUAAAAUAUGUCUAUAUACAUCCGUAUGUGGUAGUCCAUUUGAAAUAUCUAGAAAGACAAAUAUUUAGGAAUGGAGGGAGUACUUGUCUUUUAGAUUUGUCUAGAUACGGAUGCAUCUAGCACUAUAACUUGUCUGCAUACAGGGAAGUGAUGCUUCUCGGAUCAAGGAGGCCAUGGAGCUUGCUACCCAGAUAGCUUCAAUGAAGCUAAACUUCAAUGCUUCUCGGGUCAAGGAGAUCAAAGUCUACUAAUUAUAUGGCGUUACCUAAGAGAAGUCUCUUUGGUCCAUGGAGCUUGCUACCCAGAUAGCUUCUAUGCUUCUUGGGCCAAGGAGAUCAAAGUCUACUAAUUAUCGUUAUCUAAUAUCUUUAAGAGAAGUCUCCUUAGUGGCUCCUUGAUGGUCGUGCUCGCCUUUCUACCUCUAAUUGUGAUACAUGAACAUAAAAUUAAUCAUGAAAAUUGACCAGAAGCAGUGUCUGUUUAGACAACAGGGUGUUGUUUAAGGGCCUCAGUUGUGUUAAUACGGUUCGUUCAUCAAAUUGAGUGAAAAUGGUGAAAUUGCUUUAUCAAUCAAUGUUGCGCUUUCAGUCCAGUAAUGCUUAGAGCAUCUCCAACAGGUGCCCCAAAAAAAGCUCUGCGCACUAGAAAUUCAUUUUU